AACUUUUAACAAUGGAUCUCUUGGCUCUCGCAACGAUGAAGAACGCAGCGAAAUGCGAUAUGUAGUGUGAAUUGCAGAAUUCAGUGAAUCAUCGAAUCUUUGAACGCACAUUGCGCUCUCUGGUACUCCGGGGAGCAUGCUCGUUUCAGAAUCAUUACAAUCUCAAAGCCUUUCGAGCUUGCCUCGGCUGUGCUUUGGAUUUUGGACCGUAGUUUGGCCCAUUGGGCCAAUGGUUCGAAAGUGAUUGUGUGCGCGUCGUACCCUAGGGCUGACGUCUCAAGUGCAACAGAUGUUUUUUCAUUCGUUAACGCUUGGGCACGCCAGACCAUUGACGGGUCUUGUCUGCGUUUACCUUUACCUUUUUAACAGGGGUCGUCGGUGUAAACCGAUGGCCUCUGAAGACUUGGUCUGAAAUCGAGCAAGAAAACCCGCUGAACUUAAGCAUAUCAAUAAGCGGAGGCU
rnacentral:misc_RNA from 1 species